rnacentral:rRNA from 1 species
GUGUACGUACAAGCAGUGGGAGCACCCUUCGGGGUGUGACUGCGUACCUUUUGUAUAAUGGGUCAGCGACUUAUAUUCUGUAGCAAGGUUAACCGUAUAGGGGAGCCGGAGGGAAACCGAGUCUUAAUUGGGCGUUAAGUUGCAGGGUAUAGACCCGAAACCCGGUGAUCUAGCCAUGGGCAGGUUGAAGGUUGGGUAACACUAACUGGAGGACCGAACCGACUAAUGUUGAAAAAUUAGCGGAUGACCUGUGGCUGGGGGUGAAAGGCCAAUCAAACCGGGAGAUAGCUGGUUCUCCCCGAAAGCUAUUUAGGUAGCGCCUCGUGAAUUCAUCUCCGGGGGUAGAGCACUGUUUCGGCUAGGGGGCCAUCCCGGCUUACCAACCCGAUGCAAACUGCGAAUACCGGAGAAUGUUAUCACGGGAGACACACGGCGGGUGCUAACGUCCGUCGUGAAGAGGGAAACAACCCAGACCGCCAGCUAAGGUCCCAAAGUCAUGGUUAAGUGGGAAACGAUGUGGGAAGGCCCAGACAGCCAGGAUGUUGGCUUAGAAGCAGCCAUCAUUUAAAGAAAGCGUAAUAGCUCACUGGUCGAGUCGGCCUGCGCGGAAGAUGUAACGGGGCUAAACCAUGCACCGAAGCUGCGGCAGCGAACGUAUCACCCAAGACAACUUUACGGAGUUGACGAUUGACGGAGCGAAGCGACGUCAAAGCGUUCAUUAAAGUCGAGUUGGCUUAGGGAUACGUUCGUUGGGUAGGGG